rnacentral:lncRNA from 1 species
AAAAAAAAAAAAAAAAAAAGACCGAGCUCCCAGCUCGGAUAGACUUAUCUUCUCAAAAACUCAAGGUACGAAGGAAGAGGCCGAACUUCCAGCUCGGAUAGUCAGAUUCCGACCUACUAAAAAGGCGCAAGGCCUAAUAGCUAAAAAAGCGCCGAUCUCAAAAUAGAUGCUAACAAUAAAAGUUUAGCUACAGAGCAAGAGGCCUCGCUCUCAGCUCGGAUAGAUCUAUGUUCACCAAGGCUGAAGACCGAGCUCCCAGCACGGAUAGACUUACAUCCUCAAAAGCUGAAGGUAUAAAGGCUAAU